UGGGCUGCACAGGACAGAGCACAGUCAGCAUCAUCUGAUGGUGUCUCUGGUCACUCUGCAG
ensembl:miRNA Mir6996 microRNA 6996